GACGAACGCUGGCGGCGUGCUUAACACAUGCAAGUCGAACGGAAAGGCCCUGCUUUUGUGGGGUGCUCGAGUGGCGAACGGGUGAGUAACACGUGAGUAACCUGCCCUUGACUUUGGGAUAACUUCAGGAAACUGGGGCUAAUACCGGAUAGGAGCUCCUGCUGCAUGGUGGGGGUUGGAAAGUUUCGGCGGUUGGGGAUGGACUCGCGGCUUAUCAGCUUGUUGGUGGGGUAGUGGCUUACCAAGGCUUUGACGGGUAGCCGGCCUGAGAGGGUGACCGGCCACAUUGGGACUGAGAUACGGACCAGACUCCUACGGGAGGCAGCAGUGGGGAAUAUUGCACAAUGGGCGGAAGCCUGAUGCAGCAACGCCGCGUGCGGGAUGACGGCUUUCGGGUUGUAAACCGCUUUCGCCUGUGACGAAGCGUGAGUGACGGUAAUGGGUAAAGAAGCACCGGCUAACUACGUG
rnacentral:rRNA from 1 species